CCCUUAGAUGUUCUGGGCCGCACGCGCGCUACACUGAUCAGUGCAACAAGCAUCCGUCCUUGGCCGACAGGCCCGGGCAAUCUUUGAACGCUGAUCGUGAUGGGGAUAGACUUUUGCAAUUUUUGGUCUUCAACGAGGAAUUCCUAGUAAACGCAAGUCAUCAACUUGCAUUGAUUGCGUCCCUGCCCUUUGUACACACCGCCCGUCGCACCUACCGAUUGAAUGGUCCGGUGAAGCCUCCGGAUUGGCGUGCACCCUCGGGUGCUGCCGAGAAGUUGGCUAAACCUUACCAUUUAGAGGAAGGUGAAGUCGUAACA
rnacentral:rRNA from 1 species